GUCUAAGGCCAUGCUCCCCUGAACCAGCCUGAUCCUGUCUGAUCUUGGAAACUAAGCAGAGUCGGGCCUGGUUAGUACUUGGAUGGGAGACCACCUAGGAAGACCAGGUGCUGUAAGCG
rnacentral:rRNA from 1 species